rnacentral:tRNA from 1 species
GCCGGUGUGGCUCAGUGGUAGAGUAGUUGAUUCGUAAUCAAUUGGUCGCGGGUUCAAAUCCCGCCACCGGCU